CAAAGGAACACAGUGGAAGGAACGUCUAUACAGAAUUUACUAACUAUCUUUCCUUUUGCGAGCAGGUGUAUGACAAAAGAGACAAUAUAUGGUUAAUGGAAAUAAUUGUGCAACAGAAAAUGAUCUCUGAACGAGUAUGGAACGCAUUGCGGAAGAAAUUAAGCAAGUUUGGAGUCAAGUUUGGUCGGUUGUAUUGCGUUAAUUAUACGAGAUUUUGCAAGGAGAAAGGCUGGACUUCUUCUAGACGUGUAUUAUCAACGCCGUCACACAAUGAGAAAGAAGCAAAAUGUUGUAAUCCAAUAACAUACACUUACCCAUAUACAGUAGAACCCAAUGCAAUAUUUAAAUGGCUGAAACAGGAGGUGAACCAAGGACUAACAGUCGUAGGAGACAAGACGAGCUGAAGCAGAACUGGCUUGAAUUUUCCAAUUUGUUCAGUUCAGAAACACGGGUUCUGUAUGUGUCCAAAGAUCAAAGUGUGCCAUUCUGUCUU